rnacentral:rRNA from 1 species
CACGUAGGGCGCAAGCGUUGUCCGGAAUUAUUGGGCGUAAAGAGCUCGUAGGCGGACUGUCACGUCUGCUGUGAAAAGCUGGGGCUUAACCCUGGCCUUGCAGUGGAUACGGGCAGACUAGAGGUAGGUAGGGGAGAAUGGAAUUCCCGGUGUAGCGGUGAAAUGCGCAGAUAUCGGGAGGAACACCGGUGGCGAAGGCGGUUCUCUGGGCCUUACC